CUUUCUUGUUAGCUUUUCUAAAAAGUAAAACCCUGCUCGACCUUGUGAUUCUUGCUGAGCUCUUGUCUCCGAAGAUGAGACAGAACUAAGUUGUUCCCACUGAGUUGCUAAAGAGAUUUGCUGAUUAGAAAGGUGCCACGUGACAGGAACAAGCCAAAGCCACCGUGGCUAGGGUAAACGCUACAGGAGGGUAUUAGCUGUGUACCAUGGUGAGGGAAACAGGCUUCAAGUGGUGUCUAUAGGAGAGGACUAAAUGGUCUUGCCACAGAUUUAAUUUCUCUGGUUUGAGUCUGUGACAGAAACUUCAUCAUAAGAGAGUAUUCUAUCCAGGUUCCUCUGUUGCUCCCAUCAUUGUGGUGGCUUGAGCCCCUGAGGAUCUGGAAACAAUAUAUUUAACCAUGAAUGCUCCAGAAAUCCUGCUUUGGACAGCAACAGCGUUUCUAUCUUUGAGUUUCAGCCAGGGACAAGGCAGUGUCAACCAAAGACAAGGGCAGCUGGAAAAGCUGAGGGGUCAGACUGUCACCCUGGAGUGUACUUUCUCCACUGGAUACCGGUAUUAUUACUUAUUUUGGUACAGACAGCAACGAUCAGGGACGAUGGAUUUCCUCUUCCGAAUAGAUGAGAGUAAGGCUGAAAAGAAUGGAGCUGGGAGAAGGUUUUCUGCACAAUUCAGGAAAUCCUCAAAAUUCUUUAGUUUAACCAUUAAAGAGCUAGAGCCGACGGACACUGCGAUGUAUUUCUGUGCUCUGUGGGAAGACACCGUGAGAGGUUUAAUAGGGAGCCCUGUACAAAAACCCGUCCCCUUGGCUUUCUUAUCAUGAGAAACACAACUGUAGAGUAGAAUCCCCAGGCCGCAGACAGAUGGUUAAACCAGAUCGUGGGUCUGGUAUAAACCACAAGACCUGACACCUAUGAAGACUUAUGGGCCUCAUUCACCAUUGUAUUACCUCAGAUUAAUGCCAGUUUACCCACAGUGGGUCUGCUCCCAGCUGCGGUGAAUCACUGUGGAUCAAAUGAAGUCAACUGGGCCAGGUCCACCAUAGGCAUAGAUAGGCUGUAGUUCCAUUCCCCAGCUGAAGUAAACCAGCAUGGGGUCAAUGGGGCAGAUGCACAAAGACACAACACACAGAAGCACACAGACACACACGCACGUGCAAACACAAACAUAGAGACAGAUAGAAAGACACCUAACACCCACAAAACCAGCACACACAACACAGAGCUUUUAAGUCUUCCCACAAUGUCUUUAAUUCAGUUCUCACCAAGUAGCAGCAAGAAGGACAAUGAAAACGAAAAUGAAUAAGAAAAAAUGACAGAAAGUCAGAAACCGAACUUCCAGGAAGUGUAGUGGGAGGAAUUUGUCCCACGAGUUCUGACUGGUGCUUCGGUUGCAAAACCCAGCACGUCUCCUGUGUCUGUGACGCAUUUCGCGAACCCCUCCCUCUUCUGCUCGGCUGGUCUCGCAUUAACCGCUCCAAGUCCUUGUUCCGAGAAGUUGCCUUUAAGAUUCUUCGCAGAGACCUCUCAGCUUGUCCGGCUGCCGCUGUCUGAGGCACCAUGGAGACGCGUUUCAUUCUCAGCCUUUGGGUCUUUAACCAACUAGAUGCGGUGCUGGGUGACUCGGUCAGGUCCAAUGAAUCCGAGGUGUCCAGGUCAGAAGGAGACACCGUGACCCUCAGCUGUUCUUAUGAAACCAGCUACAUUGCUGGUGUCUAUCUCUAGUGGUACCGUCAGUAUCCGAACCGAGCCCGCAGUACAUCCUCCUGAGAGGAGCAAAAGGGAAGAGUAGCUGCGAUACCGCAGGUUUCGCCCAGGAGAGGUUUUCUUCCCAGGUUGAUGACAGCUCCACAAUUCUGAACAUCGCAGCCCUGGAGCUGGCAGACACAGCGGUGUAUCUCUGCUCCCUGAGUCUGGCACAGUGACAGAGCCACCCAGCAGAGCUGUACAAACCCUGCUUCCCCCCAAGCCCUGCUACAGGGGAAGUUACAGACAUUAAAACGGGCAGCAGCGGCUUGAAACAGAUGGAGUCCUGACACUGCUUAACGAUACAACUCCCCUUGACAGUUACAGGUUUAUUUAAAGAGCUAAUUUAAACAUCACCCUUGGAUAUGGGCAUGAUCUUUAAUUAGGAAACUAUUAAUACCGUUUUUCUUAGCUUGCUAGACGACCUGUAUCGGUGUAGUGUGGAGGAAAAAUCAUUUGCAGUUAAAUAAGUGUUAAAAGUGAGUACAAAUGUAGAUGAAGUGAACUAUUGUUGAAAAUAGAAAUUGAGAUUAAAUGCGAAUGAAAAAAAUCCCUUUUCACACUGACAAUAUACUGUUAAAUUGAUCAUUUAUGGUGAAAUGGGGGUAAAAUAGGUGGAAUACGGGGGAAUCGUUAGAAAUACCCGGUUUUGAGUGGUGGGGUAGAGCUGCAGUUACCAACUCUCCCAGAGUCAGAUCAAUACUCCUAUUGUAGCGACAUUUGCAUUUUGGGUUGAUUUGUUCAGAAACUAUUUAAUUGCAAGACACUUUCCCCAAGAAUAUGUGUUGAGAGCCGAGAAGGAUAAUGUGACAAAGCGUCGCCAUCAGCUGCUGGGAAAUAUAAGCUCAGUUUGCCAUUGGAAACCCUUCCACGCUAUAUAGAUUUUCGCUUUAACUCGGGCCGUCGGCAAAGGCCGCAGUGGAAAGACGAAAAUAAUUUAAAACAAUUAUUUCAGGAGUUCUGGCCGGGCGUUUCAAAGGAGGUCAACAGAGUUGGGCACCUCAUCCCGUUACAUUUGUCUUGUGAUAACCCCGGACACUAUUGCUGGUGCUGCGCUUGGAGACUCGGUUCAAGCCAAGGAAUCCGAAGUGUCUGGAUCGGUUGGCGAAUCUGUGACACUCAGCUGUUCUUACACUUCCAUCGAUAGCUAUGUCUAUCUCCAUUGGUACCGACAGUAUCCGAACCAAGCCCCACAGUCCAUUCUCUAUAGAGGAGCGAAGUCCUACAGUGGCCGAAGGGGAGGUUUUCUUCCCAGGCUGAUGACAGCUCCCCAGUUCUGAACAUCACAGCCCCGGAGCCGGCGGACAGAGCCCUGUAUUACUGCGCCCUGCACUGGGCACAGUGACACAGCCACAUAGGGAAGCCGUACAAACACCCUCCUUUCCCAGCGGCAGGCGAUGUUAGGCACAUCAUAGGCAUCUAUUUUCAGGAAUGCACAAGAUUAAAACCAUGCCUUCCAGGGAUAUGGUGAAAAGGGCUGUGAACGCAGCUGCAUGUACUCUGUAGGAGCAGGAUUUUAUAAUUGUACUAUGAGAAUUAAUGUAUGGAUUUGAUCUGAUUUUGCCAGUUACCCUUUUUAAAUAAAAGAAAGAAAUGACCCUUUGGGACUAUGGGAUUUUGUUUCCCAUAUGCAUUACAAAUUGGGCCCUUUUAGUUUUUUGUUUUAAAGUUUAGUUAGUAAAAAACAAAAUCCUGUAUUGUGUCUAUGUUAAGUAAAUUAGAAAAACGUUAAAGGUCUGGGCCUCAAUGUAAAUUGUUUUGGUUAUAAAAUUUAGCAAGGUUUAAUUUACAAUGUCUUUUUGCUUGAUAUAAAGUACUACUGUUUGUAUUCUCAAAGGUCUCUGUAAAAAACUGUUUGUGUAAAUAAAAAUGCAUGCAUCAGGAGAAAAAAAAAGGUGUAAAGGCCAUUGUCAAAGCCAAAUGGUCAAGAAAAAAAAAGUACAACAAUUUAACAAACUUAUCAAUGCCAAAAAACAAUCAAUGCACAUCCAUAACUGAGGAAAGGCAAAUUAACGACCCUAAGGUGAAGGCUGACACCCCUAAAAAUAAAAUAAUUAAUUAAAUUUAAAAACAAAACAAAAUGGCCCUCUUAAAAGUGCAUUAAAAUGUUAACAUCAAAAAAUAACACCAAUUUUAAAAAGUAACCAGUCACAAACUAACACAGCAAAAUCCAUAAACUUCAACCAAAAAACCAAAACCAAACUAUAAAAACAGGGUACUUUGCCAUAAAACUUUGGGUUCAUCUUGCCACUACUCCAAAAGCAUGAAUUUGCAACCAACAAAGCCGGCUCCCCUCUGCAACCAAUCUGGCUGUCCACUAAAUUAAUCCAAACUCUAAAAUGGUAAUUAUAAUCAUC